ACCCACCUAGUUCAGUAGUAAAGCAUGAGACUCUUAAUUUCAGGAUCGUGGGUUCAAGCCCCGCGUUGGGCG